rnacentral:lncRNA from 1 species
GGAAGACCUUUGGUUUGACCCUUGUAUUGUAAUAUCGGGCUACUCUUUGUCGGUAUGCAGCCAUUCGUAUUUGAGCUUACUGUCGAACCUCUGGGAGCAAGUCCAAGUCAGCUCUUGGACAGUCGGAGUUGCUUGGCUCUGCAUACCAUUCAACUCUCAUUAAUGGCAGUCCGAUCUCCACUGGGAUCACUGCUUCCAUUCCAUAUGCGAGGUUAAAUGGAGUUUCUCCUAUUGGAAUGUGAGGAAUUGUCUGAUAGGCUAAUAGAACUGCAUAUAAUUCUUCUACCCAC